rnacentral:rRNA from 1 species
UUGGGCGUAAGAGCUUGUAGGUGGUUUGUCGCGUCUGCUGUGAAAAUCCGAGGCUCAACCUCGGACUUGCAGUGGGUACGGGCAGACUAGAGUGUGGUAGGGGAGACUGGAAUUCCUGGUGUAGCGGUGGAAUGCGCAGAUAUCAGGAGGAACACCGAUGGCGAAGGCAGGUCUCUGGGCCAUUACUGACACUGAGAAGCGAAAGCAUGGGGAGCGAACAGGAUUAGAUACCCUGGUAGUCCAUGCCGUAAACGUUGGGAACUAGGUGUGGGUCUCAUUCCACGAGAUCCGUGCCGCAGCUAACGCAUUAAGUUCCCCGCCUGGGGAGUACGGCCGCAAGGCUAAAACUCAAAGGAAUUGACGGGGGCCCGCACAAGCGGCGGAGCAUGCGGAUUAAUUCGAUGCAACGCGAAGAACCUUACCAAGGCUUGACAUACGCCGGAAUCACUCAGAGAUGGGUGCGUCUUCGGACUGGUGUACAGGUGGUGCAUGGUUGUCGUCAGCUCGUGUCGUGAGAUGUUGGGUUAAGUCCCGCAACGAGCGCAACCCUCGUUCUAUGUUGCCAGCACGUCAUGGUGGGGACUCAUAGGAGACUGCCGGGGUCAACUCGGAGGAAGGUGGGGAUGACGUC